rnacentral:rRNA from 1 species
UACGUAGGGGGCUAGCGUUGUCCGGAAUCAUUGGGCGUAAAGCGCGUGUAGGCGGUCCGGUAAGUCCGCUGUGAAAGUCGGGGGCUCAACCCUCGGAUGCCGGUGGAUACUGCCGGGCUAGAGUCCGGAAGAGGCGAGUGGAAUUCCUGGUGUAGCGGUGGAAAUGCGCAGAUAUCAGGAGGAACACCAAUUGCGAAGGCAGCUCGCUGGACGGUACUGACGCUGGAGACGCGAAGCGU